AAGGAUCAUUAAAGAGAUAGGGUCUUCCGGGCCCGAACCUCCCACCCUUUGUGUACCUUACCUCUGUUGCUUUGGCGGGCCUGCGGGGACGCCCACCGCCGGCUCCGGCUGGAGUGUGCCCGUCGAAGUCCUUAAAAAAUCCAGUUUAUUAGUGAUGUCUGAGCACUAUUCAAUAGUUAAAAACUUUCAACAACGGAUCUCUUGGUUCUGGCAUCGAUGAAGAACGCAGCGAAAUGCGAUAAGUAAUGUGAAUUGCAGAAUUCAGUGAAUCAUCGAAUCUUUGAACGCACAUUGCGCCCCUUGGUAUUCCGAGGGGCAUGCCCGUUCGAGCGUCAUUACACCCCUCAAGCUCCGCUUGGUACUGGGCUUCGUCUCCCCGGGACGUGCCUCAAAGUUAGUGGCGGUGCGGCCUGACUCCAAGCCUAGUAACUACCCAUUCGCUUCGGGAGUUUUCAGGUCGGACCUGCCAGACAACCCACACUAUCUGUUAUGGUUGACCUCGGAUCAGGUAGGGAUACCCGCUGAACUUAA
rnacentral:rRNA from 1 species